rnacentral:rRNA from 1 species
AUUGAACGCUGGCGGCAGGCCUAACACAUGCAAGUCGAACGGUAGCACAGAGAGCUUGCUCUCGGGUGCCGAGUGGCGGACGGGUGAGUAAUGUCUGGGAAACUGCCCGAUGGAGGGGGAUAACUACUGGAAACGGUAGCUAAUACCGCAUAAUGUCGCAAGACCAAAGAGGGGGACCUUCGGGCCUCUUGCCAUCGGAUGUGCCCAGAUGGGAUUAGCUAGUUGGUGAGGUAAUGGCUCACAAGGCGACGAUCCCUAGCUGGUCUGAGAGGAUGACCAGCCACACUGGAACUGAGACACGGUCCAGACUCCUACGGGAGGCAGCAGUGGGGAAUAUUGCACAAAGGGCGCAAGCCUGAUGCAGCCAUGCCGCGUGUGUGAAGAAGGCCUUCGGGUUGUAAAGCACUUUCAGCGGGGAGGAAGGCAAUACGGUUAAUAACCGUGUUGAUUGACGUUACCCGCAGAAGAAGCACCGGCUAACUCCGUG